rnacentral:snRNA from 1 species
GUGUGCCUCGGCAGCAUGUAUACUAAAAUUAGAACAAUACAGAGAAGAUUAGCAUGGCCCCUGUGCAAGGAUGAUAUGCAAAUUUGUGAAGCAUUCCAUAUUUUU